rnacentral:rRNA from 1 species
CCUACGGGAGGCAGCAGUAGGGAAUCUUUCACAAUGGGCGAAAGCCUGAUGGAGCAACGCCGCGUGCAGGAUGAAGGCCUUCGGGUUGUAAACUGCUUUUAUAAGCGAGAAAUAUGAUGGUAACUUAUGAAUAAGGAUCGGCUAACUACGUGCCAGCAGCCGCGGUCAUACGUAGGAUCCGAGCAUUAUCCGGAGUGACUGGGCGUAAAGAGUUGCGUAGGUGGCAUAAUAAGUAGCUAGUGAAAUCUGGUGGCUCAACCAUUCAGACUAUUAGCUAAACUGUUAAGCUCGAGACCGUUAGAGGUAACUGGAAUGUCUAGUGUAGGAGUGAAAUCCGUAGAUAUUAGAAAGAACACCGAUAGCGUAGGCAGGAUGCUGGGACGGUUCUGACACUAAGGCACGAAAGCGUAGGGAGCAAACGGGAUUAGAUACCCCAGUAGUC